rnacentral:tRNA from 1 species
GCCCCUAUAGCCCAAUCGGCAGAGGCGGCCGACUUAAAAUCGGCACAGUGCGGGUUCGAGUCCCGCUGGGGGUACCA